AGAGUUUGAUCCUGGCACAGGACGAACGCUGGCGGCGUGCCUAACACAUGCAAGUCGAACGGAGAUAUUAAUGAAGCUUGCGAUUUAAUAUCUUAGUGGCGGACGGGUGAGUAACGCGCGGGUAAUCUGCCCAUAAGUGGGGGACAACAGUUGGAAACGACUGCUAAUACCGCAUAUCCUGAUUUAUUAGGAAAGAUGGCCUCUGAAUAUGCUGUCGCUUAUGGAUGAGCCCGCGUCUGAUUAGCUAGUUGGUGGGGCAAUGGCCUACCAAGGCGACGAUCAGUAGCCGGCCUGAGAGGGUGAACGGCCACACUGGGACUGAGACACGGCCCAGACUCCUACGGGAGGCAGCAGUGGGGAAUGUUGCGCAAUGGGGGAAACCCUGACGCAGCGACGCCGCGUGAGCGAUGAAGGCCUUAGGGUUGUAAAGCUCUGUUUUAGGGGACGAAUGUCUAGAUCAGUAAUAUGGGUUUAGAAUGACGGUACCCUAAGAGGAAGCCCCGGCUAACUACGUGCCAGCAGCCGCGGUAAGACGUAGGGGGCGAGCGUUGUCCGGAAUUACUGGGCGUAAAGAGCACGUAGGCGGAGACUUAAGUCAGGUGUGAAAGACCGGGGCUCAACCCCGGGGUGGCACUUGAAACUGGGUCCCUUGAGGGCAGGAGAGGGCAGUAGAAUUCCUGGUGUAGCGGUGAAAUGCGUAGAAAUCAGGAGGAAUACCAGUGGCGAAGGCGACUGCCUGGACUGACCCUGACGCUGAGGUGCGAAAGCGUGGGUAGCAAACAGGAUUA
rnacentral:rRNA from 1 species